rnacentral:rRNA from 1 species
GACGUAGGGCGCGAGCGUUGUCCGGAUUUAUUGGGCGUAAAGAGCUCGUAGGCGGUUUGUCGCGUCGGGAGUGAAAUCCACUGGCUUAACUGGUGGCUUGCUUUCGAUACGGGCAGACUGGAGGUAUGCAGGGGAGAACGGAAUUCCUGGUGUAGCGGUGAAAUGCGCAGAUAUCAGGAGGAACACCGGUGGCGAAGGCGGCGACCUGGGUAGAUACUGACGCUGAGGCGCGAAAGCGUGGGGAGCAAACAGG